UCGAGAAUCUUCCGCAAUGGGCGAAAGCCUGACGGAGCGACGUUACGUGAAUGAUGAAACCCUUCGGGGUGUAAAGUUCUUUUAUCUGGGAAGAAGUUAUUGACUGUACCAGAUGAAUAAGGGGUUGCUAACUCUGUGCCAGCAGCAGCGGUAAUACAGAGACCCCAAGCGUUACCCGGAUUUAUUGGGCGUAAAGGGUUCGUAGGUGGUAGAGUAAGUUUUAAGUUAAAAUUCAUUAGCUCAACUUUUGAGGUGCUUAAAAUACUGCUCAACUAAGAGGGCGUUAAGGGUGAACGGAACCGACGGAGUAGGGGUGAAAUCCGUUGAUAUCGUCGGGAACACCAAAAGCGAAGGCAGUUCACUGGGACGACCCUGACACUGAGGAACGAAAGCGUGGGGAGCAAAAAGG
rnacentral:rRNA from 1 species